GCUGGGUGUGGUGGCGCGCGCCUGUAAUCCCAGCUACUCAGGAGGCUGAGGCAGGGGAAUUACUUGAACCCGGGAGGUGGAGGCUGCAGUGAGCCAAGAUAGUGCCACUGCACUUUAGCCUGGGUGACAGAGUAAGACUCUGUCUGGA
rnacentral:SRP_RNA from 1 species